rnacentral:rRNA from 1 species
GACGAACGCUGGCGGCGUGCUUAACACAUGCAAGUCGAGCGGUAAGGCCCUUUCGGGGGUACACGAGCGGCGAACGGGUGAGUAACACGUGGGUGACCUGCCCUCAGCUCUGGGAUAAGCCUGGGAAACCGGGUCUAAUACCGGAUGACCCGGCGACGGAAAAGAUUUAUCGCCGAAAGAUUGGCCCGCGUAGGAUUAGCUAGUUGGUGAGGUAACGGCCCACCAAGGCGACGAUCCUUAGCUGGUUUGAGAGAACGAUCAGCCACACUGGGACUGAGACACGGCCCAGACUCCUACGGGAGGCAGCAGUAGGGAAUCUU